CCUACGGGAGGCAGCAGUGGGGAAUAUUGGACAAUGGGGGGAACCCUGAUCCAGCGACGCCGCGUGAGUGAAGAAGUAUUUCGGUAUGUAAAGCUCUAUCAGCAGGGAAGAAAAUGACGGUACCUGACUCAGAAGCCCCGGCUAACUACGUGCCAGCAGCCGCGGUCAUACGUAGGGGGCAAGCGUUAUCCGGGUUUACUGGGUGUAAAGGGAGCGUAGACGGCGGUGCAAGCCAGAUGUGAAAGCCCGGGGCUCAACCCCGGGACUGCAUUUGGAACUGUGCUGCUAGAGUGUCGGAGAGGCAGGCGGAAUUCCUAGGGUAGCGGUGAAAGGCGUAGAUAUUAGGAGGAACACCAGUGGCGAAGGCGGCCUGCUGGACGAUGACUGACGUUGAGGCUCGAAAGCGUGGGGAGCAAACAGGAUUAGAUACCCGGGUAGUC
rnacentral:rRNA from 1 species